GAUGAAGAACGUAGUGAAAUGCGAUAAGUAAUGUGAAUUGCAGAAUUCAGUGAAUCAUCGAAUCUUUGAACGCUCAUUGCGCCCGCCAGUAUUCUGGCGAGCAUGCCUGUUCGAGCGUCAUUUCAACCAUCAAGCCCCAGGCUUGUGUUGGAGCCCUGCGGCUGCCGCAGCCUCCCAAAACCAGUGGCGGGCUCGCUAUCACACCGAGUGCAGUAGUUUACUCUUCGCUCAGGGCGUGUGGCGGGUGCUAGCCGUGAAACCCCCAACUUCUCAAGGUUGACCUCGGAUCAGGUAGGAAUACCCGCUGAACUUAAGCAUAUCAAUAAGCGGAGGA
rnacentral:misc_RNA from 1 species